rnacentral:rRNA from 1 species
UACGUAGGGGGCAAGCGUUGUCCGGAUUUAUUGGGCGUAAAGAGCUCGUAGGUGGUUCGGUAAGUCGGGUGUUAAACCCCCAGGCUCAACCUGGGGACGCCACUCGAUACUGCUGUGACUAGAGUCCGGUAGGGGAGCGUGGAAUUCCUGGUGUAGCGGUGAAAUGCGCAGAUAUCAGGAGGAACACCAGCGGCGAAGGCGGCGCUCUGGGACAACACUGACGCUGAGGCACGAAAGCGUGGGGAGCAAACAGG